AUGGAUCCCUCUCUCAAUCACGUCUAUCUCUUUCUAUCAAACUCUCAGGUCUCUUCUCUCCUCACCUCAAAUUGCAGCAAGGACUCUUUUAUCCUCACCUCAAAUUGCAUCAAGGACUCUUCUAUCCUCACCUCAAAUUGCAGCAAGGACGUUAGGGCGUGGAUCUCCUGCGCUCAACGAGGUCAUCGCACUAAAAUUAUUUUCCUCAUGUGGAUUAGAUCGGUUUGGGGCAGAAGUAAGCCCAUAAGGCUAGCUUAUAAAUUAAGCAUGCAACCUAACAUAGACCAUCUCAAAUCAAGGAGGCUCUAUUCGUUGUCAGCAUCGUCAUUGCUCAGAUUCUCCUAUUAG
rnacentral:rRNA from 1 species